GACGAACGCUGGCGGCGUGCUUAACACAUGCAAGUCGAACGGAAAGGCCCUGCUUUUGUGGGGUGCUCGAGUGGCGAACGGGUGAGUAACACGUGAGUAACCUGCCCUUGACUUUGGGAUAACUUCAGGAAACUGGGGCUAAUACCGGAUAGGAGCUCCUGCUGCAUGGUGGGGGUUGGAAAGUUUCGGCGGUUGGGGAUGGACUCGCGGCUUAUCAGCUUGUUGGUGGGGUAGUGGCUUACCAAGGCUUUGACGGGUAGCCGGCCUGAGAGGGUGACCGGCCACAUUGGGACUGAGAUACGGCCCAGACUCCUACGGGAGGCAGCAGUGGGGAGUAUUGCACAAUGGGCGGAAGCCUGAUGCAGCAACGCCGCGUGCGGGAUGACGGCCUGUGGGUUGUAAACCGCUUUCGCCUGUGAGGAAGCGUGAGUGACGGUAAUGGGUAAAGAAGCACCGGCUAACUACGUG
rnacentral:rRNA from 1 species